rnacentral:lncRNA from 1 species
UGCAGUGCCUGCCCUUCGAUAAAAGUUUCCGGUACUGUAGUACUGCAUGAAUGAAUGACUGAGUAGGAGCCGCACCUCUUCUCCUGGAGCCACCAAGCUGGACAGCAAAUACAGGUGUGUCCAGGCUGCAGAGCCUGCCCUCCUUCUUAUCUCCCCGCCCCCUUCCAGGGAAGGGUAAGAUCUUCAAAGCGCUUAUAAAUUUGUAAGCUUUUGACGUAGACGCCUCCAAGGCCCCAUUCACUGCCGUACUAGUCACUGAAUAUACUUGUGCUGGCGCCUCCCCAGAUCGAGCCCUCAAGGGAAGGAACGGGUCCAAGGACGCUCAAGCGAAUUUUGAAGAAUUCGGUCUUCCGCUUGCCACCGUCCCGGAGCUUCUAAGAGCGGAGGGUUGGGACGCCAACGGGCACAGGUGGAAUCCAUGCAGUCCACCCCGGUGCAAUCAGGCUGCCAGGAGUAGGAUGGACUCCCGAGCGCGCUCGGCUGCUGGACCCCAGCAGCGGGCCUCUGCAAAGGGGGAGUCUGGGCAGCUCCCGGGUGGGAGGGGCCUGAGCCGGGAGGCCUUGUCAUUGGCUCCGCGGGCCGGGGGCGGGGCUUCAGGGCCACGGGCCGCACAGUAAGUUCACGGCCCGGGUCGCGUCCCAUAGCCGCGCAGUCCUGCUCCGGAGCUAUCGCCGCCCGCGGGUCGGCCGCCUGCGCGUCUCACGCUCCUGGGAAGGCUCCUGCCUGGAGCCCGAGGACAUUGGAGACCGGGGUUGGUCUGGACUCCUCUGGAACGCGGGGCGAUAGCGGGGGACGCGCGCGUCACCUAGUGGCUGCGGGACCGGACGCAGGUCAGCACCAGGUCCCCGGGAGACUCCGCACUGGCCACAUCCAGGCAGGCAAGAAGAGGCGAACACCUGGGGUCAGGGGCGGUUCGUUUUUGUUCUUUUUCUGAGCACUGUCCUAGAGAACCAAAAUGCUUGAACAGGCCUUGCAGAUAUUUGAUGAAUUCAUUUGACAGAACUGACAGUGACCAUUGACCCCAUCUGUUGUGCAGUGGCACUCUUAACUACAGUAUACCAUGGAUAAUUUAUUGUUAGCCCAUUUUGUAGAUGGGGAAGGCGAGACCUAGAGAGGAGAGGUGUCUUUCUUGCUCAAGGUCACAGGGUUCCAGAUGGGGCUGAAUUCA